GGGCAUGGCGCAGCUACACAUGCAAGUCGAACGGUAGCACAGAGAGCUUGCUCUCGGGUGACGAGUGGCGGACGGGUGAGUAAUGUCUGGGAAACUGCCUGAUGGAGGGGGAUAACUACUGGAAACGGUAGCUAAUACCGCAUAACGUCGCAAGACCAAAGAGGGGGACCUUCGGGCCUCUUGCCAUCAGAUGUGCCCAGAUGGGAUUAGCUAGUAGGUGGGGUAACGGCUCACCUAGGCGACGAUCCCUAGCUGGUCUGAGAGGAUGACCAGCCACACUGGAACUGAGACACGGUCCAGACUCCUACGGGAGGCAGCAGUGGGGAAUAUUGCACAAUGGGCGCAAGCCUGAUGCAGCCAUGCCGCGUGUAUGAAGAAGGCCUUCGGGUUGUAAAGUACUUUCAGCGGGGAGGAAGGUGUUGUGGUUAAUAACCGCAGCAAUUGACGUUACCCGCAGAAGAAGCACCGGCUAACUCCGUGCCAGCAGCCGCGGUAAUACGGAGGGUGCAAGCGUUAAUCGGAAUUACUGGGCGUAAAGCGCACGCAGGCGGUCUGUCAAGUCGGAUGUGAAAUCCCCGGGCUCAACCUGGGAACUGCAUUCGAAACUGGCAGGCUGGAGUCUUGUAGAGGGGGGUAGAAUUCCAGGUGUAGCGGUGAAAUGCGUAGAGAUCUGGAGGAAUACCGGUGGCGAAGGCGGCCC
rnacentral:rRNA from 1 species